rnacentral:rRNA from 1 species
UGGGGAAUUUUGGACAAUGGGCGAAAGCCUGAUCCAGCAAUGCCGCGUGUGUGAAGAAGGCCUUCGGGUUGUAAAGCACUUUUGUCCGGAAAGAAAUCCUUGGCUCUAAUACAGCCGGGGGAUGACGGUACCGGAAGAAUAAGCACCGGCUAACUACGUGCCAGCAGCCGCGGUAAUACGUAGGGUGCAAGCGUUAAUCGGAAUUACUGGGCGUAAAGCGUGCGCAGGCGGUUUGCUAAGACCGAUGUGAAAUCCCCGGGCUCAACCUGGGAACUGCAUUGGUGACUGGCAGGCUAGAGUAUGGCAGAGGGGGGUAGAAUUCCACGUGUAGCAGUGAAAUGCGUAGAGAUGUGGAGGAAUACCGAUGGCGAAGGCAGCCCCCUGGGCCAAUACUGACGCUCAUGCACGAAAGCGUGGGGAGCAAACAGGAUU